rnacentral:rRNA from 1 species
UAGGGAAUAUUGCACAAUGGGCGAAAGCCUGAUGCAGCAACGCCGCGUGUGCGAUGAAGGCCUUCGGGUCGUAAAGCACUUUUCUGAGAGAUGAGCAAGGACAGUAUCUCAGGAAUAAGUCUCGGCUAACUACGUGCCAGCAGCCGCGGUAAAACGUAGGAGGCGAGCGUUAUCCGGAUUCACUGGGCGUAAAGCGCGUGCAGGCGGUUCGGUAAGUUGGGUAUGAAAUCUCCCGGCUCAACUGGGAGAGGUUAUCCAAUACUACCGGACUUGAGAGUGAUAGAGGAAGAUGGAAUUCCCGGUGUAGUGGUGAAAUGCGUAGAUAUCGGGAGGAACACCAGUGGCGAAAGCGAUCUUCUGGAUCAUUUCUGACGCUCAGACGCGAAAGCUAGGGUAGUAAACGGG